UACGUAGGGUGCAAGCGUUGUCCGGAAUUAUUGGGCGUAAAGAGCUCGUAGGCGGUUUGUCGCGUCUGCUGUGAAAACCUAAGGCUCAACCUCGCGCCUGCAGUGGGUACGGGCAGACUAGAGUGCGGUAGGGGAGAUUGGAAUUCCUGGUGUAGCGGUGGAAUGCGCAGAUAUCAGGAGGAACACCGAUGGCGAAGGCAGAUCUCUGGGCCGUUACUGACGCUGAGGAGCGAAAGCGUGGGGAGCGAACAGG
rnacentral:rRNA from 1 species